AACGAACGCUGGCGGCAUGCCUAACACAUGCAAGUCGAACGAGACCUUCGGGUCUAGUGGCGCACGGGUGCGUAACGCGUGGGAAUCUGCCCUUCGGUUCGGAAUAACUCAGGGAAACUUGAGCUAAUACCGGAUGAUGACUUCGGUCCAAAGAUUUAUCGCCGAGGGAUGAGCCCGCGUCGGAUUAGCUAGUUGGUGAGGUAAAGGCUCACCAAGGCGACGAUCCGUAGCUGGUCUGAGAGGAUGAUCAGCCACACUGGGACUGAGACACGGCCCAGACUCCUACGGGAGGCAGCAGUGGGGAAUAUUGGACAAUGGGCGCAAGCCUGAUCCAGCAAUGCCGCGUGAGUGAUGAAGGCCCUAGGGUUGUAAAGCUCUUUUACCCGGGAUGAUAAUGACAGUACCGGGAGAAUAAGCCCCGGCUAACUCUGUGCCAGCAGCCGCGGUAAUACGGAGGGGGCUAGCGUUGUUCGGAAUUACUGGCGUAAAGCGCAC
rnacentral:rRNA from 1 species